UACGUAGGCAGCGAGCGUUGUUCGGAGUUACUGGGCGUAAAGGGUGUGUAGGCGGUCGUUUAAGUUUGGGGUGAAAUCUCCCGGCUCAACCGGGAGGGUGCGCCGAAUACUGAAUGACUUGGAGUGCGGGAGAGGUGAGUGGAAUUCCCGGUGUAGCGGUGAAAUGCGUAGAUAUCGGGAGGAACAUCAGUGGCGAAGGCGGCUACCUGGCCCAAUACUGACACUCAGGUGCGACAGCGUGGGGAGCAAACAGG
rnacentral:rRNA from 1 species